rnacentral:lncRNA from 1 species
GUGGCACGACUUCGGCUGACUGCAACCUCUGCCUCCCGGGUUCAAGCGAUUCUCUUGCCUCAGCCUCCCAAGUAGCAGGGACUACAGUUCCGAUGAAGUUAAAUUCCGUCAAGAUUUAAUGAAUAUUGCGGGCACAACAUUAUCCUCAAAACUUCUUACUCAUCACAAAGACCACUUUACAAAGUUAGCUGUAGAAGCAGUUCUCAGACUGAAAGGCUCUGGCAACCUGGAGGCAAUUCAUAUUAUCAAGAAGCUAGGAGGAAGUUUGGCAGAUUCCUAUUUAGAUGAAGGC